CGGAGAUUCAGCAAUGGAUCUUAGUGGCGAACGGGUGAGUAACGCGUAGGCAAUCUGCCUUCUAGAUGGGGACAACAUCCCGAAAGGGGUGCUAAUACCGAAUGUUGUAAUUGGUUCGCAUGGACUAGCUACUAAAGGUGGCCUCUGAAUAUGCUACCGCUAGAAGAUGAGCCUGCGUCUGAUUAGCUAGUUGGAGGGGUAACGGCCCACCAAGGCUUCGAUCAGUAGCCGGUCUGAGAGGAUGAACGGCCACACUGGGACUGAGACACGGCCCAGACUCCUACGGGAGGCAGCAGUGGGGAAUCUUCCGCAAUGGACGAAAGUCUGACGGAGCAACGCCGCGUGAGUGAAGAAGGUUUUCGGAUCGUAAAGCUCUUUCGUUAGGGACGAACGUGCUCUUUGUGAAUAAUGAGGAGUAAUGACGGUACCUAAAUAAGAAGCCACGGCUAACUACGUGCCAGCAGCCGCGGUAAUACGUAGGUGGCAAGCGUUGUCCGGAAUUAUUGGGCGUAAAGCGCGCGCAGGCGGGAUAUCAAGUCUGUC
rnacentral:rRNA from 1 species